GCGGUAAAGGAGGGGGCUGCGGCCCAUCAGCUAGUUGGUGAGGUAACGGCUCACCAAGGCGACGACGGGUAGGGGACCUGAGAGGGUGACCCCCCACACUGGGACUGAGACACGGCCCAG
rnacentral:rRNA from 1 species